AUGUUUCAGUGGUAAAUAUCACGAAAAUGCAUUUCAAAGAUAUUUUCGAAUACGCACAAUAGUUUCGAAAAUUAUUCAAAGCCAAUUCCAGAAAAUGCAAACAUUGUAUUCGUGAAUAUAAUGCCUUGUAUGAGAGAAAUGGACUUCCCCUGGGAUAUGAUGGGAUAGUGUAUAAAGCAUUUCACGUGAAGAGGCCUUUUCUGAGGACUUGGGAAUAGACAAACAUGUGUCUGUGGUAAAUAUCACGAAAAUGCAUUUCAAAGAUAUUUUCGAAUACGCGCAGUGGUUUCGCAAAUUGUUUAACGCCAAUUCCAGAAAAUGCAAACAUUGUAUUUGUGAGUAUAAUGCCUUGUAUGUGAGAAAUGGACUUCCCCUGGGAUAUGAUGGGACAGUGUAUAAAGCAUUUCACGUGAAGAGGCCUUUUCUGAGGACUUGGGAAUAGACAAACAUGUGUCUGUGGUAAAUAUCACGAAAAUGCAUUUCAAAGAUAUUUUCGAAUACGCGCAGUGGUUUCGCAAAUUGUUUAACGCCAAUUCCAGAAAAUGCAAACAUUGUAUUUGUGAGUAUAAUGCCUUGUAUGUGAGAAAUGGACUUCCCCUGGGAUAUGAUGGGAUGGUGUAUAAAGCAUUUCACGUGAAGAGGCCUUUUUUGAGGAAUUGGGAAUAGACAAACAUGUUUCAGUGGUAAAUAUCACGAAAAUGCAUUUCAAAGAUAUUUUCGAAUACGCACAAUAGUUUCGAAAAUUAUUCAAAGCCAAUUCCAGAAAAUGCAAACAUUGUAUUCGUGAAUAUAAUGCCUUGUAUGAGAGAAAUGGACUUCCCCUGGGAUAUGAUGGGAUAGUGUAUAAAGCAUUUCACGUGAAGAGGCCUUUUCUGAGGACUUGGGAAUAGACAAACAUGUUUCAGUGGCAAAUAUCACAAAAAUGCAUUUCAAAGAUAUUUUCGAAUACGCACAAGGGUUUCGAAAAUUAUUCAAAGCCAAUUCCAGAAAAUGCAAACACUGUAUUCGAGAAUAUAAUGCCUUGUAUGAGAGAAAUGGACUUCCCCUGGGAUAUGAUGGGAUAGUGUAUAAAGCAUUUCACGUGAAGAGGCCUUUUCUGAGGACUUGGGAAUAGACAAACAUGUUUCAGUGGCAAAUAUCACAAAAAUGCAUUUCAAAGAUAUUUUCGAAUACGCACAAGGGUUUCGAAAAUUAUUCAAAGCCAAUUCCAGAAAAUGCAAACACUGUAUUCGAGAAUAUAAUGCCUUGUAUGAGAGAAAUGGACUUCCCCUGGGAUAUGAUGGGAUAGUGUAUAAAGCAUUUCACGUGAAGAGGCCUUUUCUGAGGACUUGGGAAUAGACAAACAUGUUUCAGUGGCAAAUAUCACGAAAAUGUGUUUUAAAGAUAUUUUCGAAUACGCACAAUGGUUUCGAAAAUUGUUUAACGCCAAUUCCAGAAAAUGCAAACAUUGUAUUCGUGAGUAUAAUGUCUUGUAUGAGAGAAAUGGACUUUCCCUGGGAUAUGAUGGGAUAGUGUAUAAAGCAUUUCACGUGAAGAGGUCUUUUUUGAGGAAUUGGGAAUAGACAAACAUGUGCCAAUGGCAAAUAUCACGAAAAUGUGUUUUAAAGAUGUUUUCGAAUACGCACAAUGGUUUCGAAAAUUGUUUAACGCUGAUUCCAGAAAAUGCAAACAUUGUAUUCGUGAGUAUAAUGCCUUGUAUGUGAGAAAUGGACAUCCUCUGGGAUAUGUUCAUGUAAUAAUUACUUUGACGUUAUGGAAAACAUUACCAAGAAAUAAUGGAUCACUGAUGUGAUGGAAAAAUAAAGAUGUUUAUAUAUUUGAAGGAUACUAGAAAUCUUGCAUAGUAGCGUAUACAGACUGGGAUGAAAUGGAAGGACAGGACCAAUCUUUCAUCAUGAUAUGGCUGCAAAAAUACUGUCAAAAAAAAACUUUUAGUAUGUCACCUCGCCCCUUUAGCACAAUCCUGAGAUUCUUGAUGCUAUAAAUUAGUGCUCAACUGUGAAGACAAGCGGAUAAAUAACAUGGUAUGCCGUCAUGCCUUAGCUAUAGCAGGGACUGAUGCUUUGAAUCGUAAAUUUAAUGUGUCAGAAAUCUUAUUGUUAAUGAGCGAAAGAAUGAAAUAAAAGGGUUUAACUUAUGUGUUUGUGCUAAA